rnacentral:rRNA from 1 species
UGGGAGCGGCGGACGGCUGAGUAAUACAUAGGAAUCUGCCCCUUUCUGGAGGAUAGCUCACCGAAAGGUGAGGUAAUACUCCAUGGUCCCUCCUUCAUCGGAGGGUAAAGAUUUAUCGGAAAGGGAUGAGCCUAUGCCCUAUCAGGUAGUUGGUAGAGUAAAAGCCUACCAAGCCUAUGACGGGUAGCUAAUCUGGGAGGAUGGUUAGCCAGAGGGGGACUGAGACACGGCCCCC